rnacentral:rRNA from 1 species
UACGUAGGGGGCUAGCGUUGUCCGGAAUCAUUGGGCGUAAAGCGCGUGUAGGCGGUCCGGUAAGUCCGCUGUGAAAGUCGGGGGCUCAACCCUCGGAUGCCGGUGGAUACUGUCGGGCUUGAGUACGGAAGAGGCGAGUGGAAUCCUGGUGUAGCGGUGAAAUGCGCAGAUAUCAGGAGGAACACCAAUUGCGAAGGCAGCUCGCUGGGACGUUACUGACGCUGAGACGCGAAAGCGUGGGGAGCAAACAGGG